AUGGCACACUCUGUCGGCCUCGUCGUCCUCCUCCUCGCCGUCGUGGCGCUCGCCGCCCAGCCUCCGGCUCCGGCGGCCUCCGCAAAGGCUCCUGCUUCGGUCAACGAAAAGACAGCGAAAGCGCCCACGGCGGCGAACGCAGCGUCCGUGGCUACUCCGAAGGCUGAACCGGCCAAGACAGCGACGCCCGCCCGUGCGCCCGCGAAGGGGUCCGGCGCCGAGUCGCCGAGCAAAGGCGCCACGUCGGCGAAGGCCCCGGCCAGUUCAUCCAAGGAUUCCGCGUCGAGCCCGUCCGAAGCCGAAGCCGCCGAGACUCCGGACGGCGGCGACGCCGACCCCGAGGAUGAUUCAUCCGCCGCGACGCCGUCCUCCUCGUCGUCGGACGAUGACUCCAACACAGACGACGACAGCCCGCCAGGGCCCGCCAGCUCGCCAGACUCAGACUCGCCAGCUGACUCGCCUGACCCCGCCGCAGACGACGAGAAUGGCAGCGUCGGCGUGAGGAGUGGCGUGGUGGCUUCCGUCGUGGCCGUGGCCACCUCAGCCUCCGUCGUGCUUUUAUUUUAG
rnacentral:rRNA from 1 species